AGCAGCCGCGGUAAUUCCAGCUCCAAUAGCGUAUAUUAAAGUUGCUGCAGUUAAAAAGCUCGUAGUUGAAUUUCGGGACCAUCAUGUCGGUCGUGCCUCGGUACGUACUGGCAUUGUUGGUUUCUACCUUCUGACGAACCAUGAUGUCAUUUAUUUGGUGUCGUGGGAAAUCAGGACUGUUACUUUGAAAAAAUUAGAGUGUUUAAAGCAGGCUCACGCUUGAAUACAUUAGCAUGGAAUAAUGAAAUAGGACGUUUGAUUCUAUUUUGUUGGUUUCUAGGAUCGACGUAAUGAUUAAUAGGGAUAGUUGGGGGCAUUAGUAUUCAAUUGUCAGAGGUGAAAUUCUUGGAUUUAUUGAAGACUAACUACUGCGAAAGCAUUUGCCAAGGAUGUUUUCAUUAAUCAAGAACGAAAGUUAGGGGAUCGAAGACGAUCAGAUACCGUCGUAGUCUUAACCAUAAACUAUGCCGACUAGGGAUCGGAUGAUGUUAAUUUUUUAAUGACCCA
rnacentral:rRNA from 1 species